AAGAUCAUACUUCACAGGAUCAUUUCUGUAGUAUAUCUUCACAAUCUCUCUACUCAACAGUGGAGUUGAUGCAGCCACGAUGAGGAGUAAGAACUCUUCUCUCUGAGCGUGAGAACGAUCUGUUGUACGGCCAGUCCGUGCAAUCGGUCAUCGAUGAUCGUUCACCUGAAGCACUACGUGCAACAGGAAUGGGAGAAUGAGUAUUCUGAGUGGU